rnacentral:rRNA from 1 species
CAUGUAGGCGGAUUGGUCAGUUGGAGGUGAAAUCCCGGAGCUCAACUCCGGAACUGCCUUCAAUACUGCCAAUCUAGAAUCUGUAAGGGGGUGGUGGAAUUCCGAGUGUAGAGGUGAAAUUCGUAGAUAUUCGGAGGAACACCAGUGGCGAAGGCGACCACCUGGUACAGUAUUGACGCUGAGAUGACGAAAGCGGUGGGGAGACAAACA